AACACUGUUGUUUUUUAUUGGUCGUCAUGAAAAAAAACAUAAGGGGUUACACUGUUGUUUUUUAUUGGUCGUCAUGAAAAAAAACAAAAGGGGUUACACUGUUGUUUUUUAUUGGUCGUCAUGAAAAAAAACAAAAGGGGUAACACUGCUGUUUUUUAUUGGUUGUCAUGAAAAAAAACAUAAGGGGUAACACUGUUGUUUUUAUCAAAUGAAACAUAAGGGGUACCACUGUCGAUAUUAAUCAAUUAAAACAUAGGGAGUAACACUGUCGUUUUUAUCAAAUGAAACAUGAGGGGUGACACUGUCGUUUUUCUUUGGUCGUCAUGAAAAAAUCACAAGGGGUAACUCUGUCGUUUUUUAUUGGUCGUCAUGAAAAAAACCACAAGGGGUAACACUGUUGUUUUUUAUUGGUCAUCAAGAAAAAAACCAUAAGGGCUAACACUGUCGUAUUAGAUUGGUCGUCAUGAAAAAAAACAUAUUUAAAAAAAAAAAAAAAAGGGUCCUUGUCAAAUAAAAUAUAAGGGGUAACACUGUUGUUUUUCAUCAGUCAUCAUGGGAAAAAAACAUAUGGGGUAACACUGUCGAAAUGUAUCGAAAAAAAACAUAGGGGGUAACACCAGGGACGCGGGAAGUCAGUCCGAGGGGAGGGUUCUGAGACUGAGAGAGAGUCAAUAUAAUGACGUCAUAAUAAAUGCUGUGCAACAUCCAUUGUUUGCAGAGACGAGAUGACGGGAGACGUCACAUUCAGGGCUCCGCUCUGACAAACACUCUAGCCUACUCUUGUGUAAAAAGAGUUCUGCCAAGAGUUCUCCCCGUCCGGGAUUAUACACAGCGUUAUAACAAGGAUCCAGGAGGUUAUUUCUAAAGGUUUACAAAGGAAAGUGACAAUAAAAGAAAGCCUUCAUUUUCAUCCAGAGCUAUGAGUUGUCUGAUAUGAGGAAAGUGACGGUUUCUCGGUCAAGUGAACCGUCCGUCUUUGCUCUUUUUUUGCCAACCAGUUUAUGUGCGGGAUUCCAGAAUCAAAACGAUAACAUUCAAAAUGUCUAUUAAUAUGGCAGCAACAUUUUACACCAGUUUUAGAAUGUUCACUACAACAGAUAUUGAACACCAACAUGCUUAUGUAAAAUCAGCAUAGUACAAUAUUCAGCUAUGGACAGUUGCGUUGUGCGUCAUAGCCUAUACGUCAG
ensembl:lncRNA